AAAACUUUCAACAACGGAUCUCUUGGUUCUGGCAUCGAUGAAGAACGCAGCGAAAUGCGAUAAGUAAUGUGAAUUGCAGAAUUCAGUGAAUCAUUGAAUCUUUGAACGCACAUUGCGCCC
rnacentral:rRNA from 1 species